AGGGCAAGUCUGGUGCCAGCAGCCGCGGUAAUUCCAGCUCCAAUAGCGUAUAUUAAAGUUGUUGCAGUUAAAAAGCUCGUAGUUGAAUUUCGGGAUCAAUUUAUUGGUCGUGCUAUUGUACGUACUGGUAUUAUUGAUUCCUACCUUCUGACGAACCAUGAUGUCAUUAAUUUGGUGUCAUGGGGAAUCAGGACUGUUACUUUGAAAAAAUUAGAGUGUUUAAAGCAGGCUCACGCUUGAAUACAUUAGCAUGGAAUAACGAAAUAGGACGUUUGAUUCUAUUUUGUUGGUUUCUAGGAUCGACGUAAUAAUUAAUAGGGAUAGUUGGGGGCAUUAGUAUUCAAUUGUCAGAGGUGAAAUUCUUGGAUUUAUUGAAGACUAACUACUGCGAAAGCAUUUGCCAAGGAUGUUUUCAUUAAUCAAGAACGAAAGUUAGGGGAUCGAAGACGAUCAGAUACCGUCGUAGUCCUAACCAUAAACUAUGCCGACUAGGGAUCGGAUGAUGUUAAUUUUUUAAUGACUCGUUCGGCGCCUUACGGGAAA
rnacentral:rRNA from 1 species